rnacentral:rRNA from 1 species
AAGUCGAACGGAAAGGCCCUGCUUGCAGGGUACUCGAGUGGCGAACGGGUGAGUAACACGUGGGUGAUCUGCCCUGCACUUCGGGAUAAGCUUGGGAAACUGGGUCUAAUACCGGAUAGGAACCAUCUUUAGUGUGGUGGUUGGAAAGUUUUUUCGGUGUAGGAUGAGCUCGCGGCCUAUCAGCUUGUUGGUGGGGUAAUGGCCUACCAAGGCGGCGACGGGUAGCCGGCCUGAGAGGGUGUACGGCCACAUUGGGACUGAGAUACGGCCCAGACUCCUACGGGAGGCAGCAGUGGGGAAUAUUGCACAAUGGGCGCAAGCCUGAUGCAGCGACGCCGCGUGGGGGAUGAAGGCCUUCGGGUUGUAAACUCCUUUCGCUAGGGACGAAGCUUUUUGGUGACGGUACCUAGAUAAGAAGCACCGGCUAACUACGUGCCAGCAGCCGCGGUAAUACGUAGGGUGCGAGCGUUGUCCGGAAUUACUGGGCGUAAAGGGCUCGUAGGUGGUUUGUCGCGUCGUCUGUGAAAUUCUGGGGCUUAACUCCGGGCGUGCAGGCGAUACGGGCAUAACUUGAGUGCUGUAGGGGUAACUGGAAUUCCUGGUGUAGCGGUGAAAUGCGCAGAUAUCAGGAGGAACACCGAUGGCGAAGGCAGGUUACUGGGCAGUUACUGACGC